rnacentral:rRNA from 1 species
ACGGGAGUAGACUAACAGGAUCCCCUAGUAACUGCGAGUGAAGCGGGAAAAGCUCAAAUUUAAAAUCUGGCGGUCUUUGGCUGUCCGAGUUGUAGUCUGGAGAAGCGUUUUCCGCGCUGGACCGUGUACAAGUCCCUUGGAAUAGGGCGUCAUAGAGGGUGAGAAUCCCGUCUUUGACACGGACUACCAGUGCUUUGUGAUGCGCUCUCAAAGAGUCGAGUUGUUUGGGAAUGCAGCUCAAAAUGGGUGGUAAAUUCCAUCUAAAGCUAAAUAUUGGCGAGAGACCGAUAGCGAACAAGUACCGUGAGGGAAAGAUGAAAAGCACUUUGGAAAGAGAGUUAAACAGUACGUGAAAUUGCUAAAAGGGAAACGCUUGAAGUCAGUCGCGUUAUGCAGAACUCAGCCUGGCUUUUGCUUGGUGUAUUUUCUGUAUGACGGGCCAGCAUCAAUUUUGGCCGCUGGAAAAAGGCCUCAGAAAUGUGGCACCUUCGGGUGUGUUAUAGUCUGAGGUCAUAUACAGCGGCUGGGAUUGAGGUCUGCAGCACGCCUUUAUGGCUGGGGUUCGCCCACAUUCGUGCUUAGGAUGCUGGCGUAAUGGCUUUAAACGACCCGUCUUGAAACACGGACCAAGGAGUCUAACAUGCCUGCGAGUGUUUGGGUGGAAAACCCGAGCGCGCAAUGAAAGUGAAAGUUGAGAUCCCUGUCGUGGGGAGCAUCGACGCCCGGACCAGACCUUUUGUGACGGAUCUGCGGUAGAGCAUGUAUGUUGGGACCCGAAAGAUGGUGAACUAUGCCUGAAUAGGGUGAAGCCAGAGGAAACUCUGGUGGAGGCUCGUAGCGAUUCUGACGUGCAAAUCGAUCGUCAAAUUUGGGUAUAGGGGCGAAAGACUAAUCGAACCAUCUAUAAGCUGGUUCCUGCCGAGUUCUCCCCCCGAGAAA